CCCUUUAUUACGGCUGGACCAAACCAAAGCAACCAACCCACCACAUCCACCAGGAGACCAUCUCACCACUCCAGCCAGUCUCCGCAGCUCCACGGCGACGGACUCCUUCGAUCUAGUUGAAGCGCCCGCCCGCCCUCCGCUGCCACCAAGGCGGCGUCGAGCGUGCGGCGGCUGAGUAUCCAUUACGCGGUGGAUUCCAAUGGGCACUGUGCAUGCGGCGGUAUUACUUUCACAUCACCGAUUCAUCACAUCAAAACAACAGAGGAGUUCAUAUAAAUAUCUAAUCCAAGAACAAGCCUGCAGAUUCGGCUGGAGCAGUGGUACAAAAGAUGGAAAAGGGGGAGACACGAACUAAGUUCGGGCAGGAUCUAUUAUGGCUGGCGAGGCCAACAAUUUGACCGACGAUGUGCGCAGUGGUGUAAAAUCCUAUUCGGCAGUUCCACCUGAAGGGAACACUUCUCUAUGGCCACAAGGUUCUCAUUCAAACGCCACUCUGGGCUACACAGAGAACUACACACGUAGAGGUUUCUCCUAUAGGAUCCCUAGCAUAAGAACUCAUCCCAUAAAUUCAUAAAUAAAAAUACCAAGUGAAACCAAGAAACUACAUCAUUUCCACAACAUAAUUUACAUAUGGCUUUCCCUUUUGGGAGGCCCCGAAGGGAUUACACAAGCUAAAGAAAAUUACCUUCUAACUACCUUCUUGAGCCUACAAUGAUAUGGAUAUUGUGGCUCUUAUUGCAGGAUAAGGAACUACUACUACUACUGCUGAGCAACGAGCUUGCUAUCUGGGUCGCAGCUCUAUGCUCUAUCGAUGGCUGGUUCUUCUCCAUUUGGUGUCUCUCUUUGCAGCAAAUGCCUCCUUUUAUAGGCGAGAGAGCAGCUCUCUGGAUGGCUUCCGAGAGAAUGUACCUCUUUAUUUUAUAUGUGGUAGGGUGCAUGCGUGUCCUUC